GGAUAACGUCUGGAAACGGACGCUAAUACCGCAUAAUACUAUUUGAGGGCAUCCUUGGAUAGUCAAAGGAGAAAUCCGAUGGGAGAUGGACUCGCGGCUGAUUAGAUAGUUGGCGGGGUAGAGGCCCACCAAGUCGACGAUCAGUAGCCGGACUGAGAGGUUGAACGGCCACAUUGGGACUGAGACACGGCCCAGACUCCUACGGGAGGCAGCAGUGGGGGAUAUUGCACAAUGGGGGAAACCCUGAUGCAGCGACGCCGCGUGAGGGAAGACGGUUUUCGGAUUGUAAACCUCUGUCUUUGGGGACGAAUUGAGACGGUACCCAAGGAGGAAGCUCCGGCUAACUACGUGCCAGCAGCCGCGGUAAUACGUAGGGAGCAAGCGUUGUCCGGAAUUACUGGGUGUAAAGGGAGCGUAGGCGGGAUAGUAAGUUGAUUGUUAAAACUAUCGGCUCAACUGGUAGAUGCGAUCAAAACUGCAAUUCUUGAGUGAAGUAGAGGCAGGCGGAAUUCCUAGUGUAGCGGUGAAAUGCGUAGAUAUUAGGAGGAACACCAGUGGCGAAGGCGGCCUGCUGGGCUUUAACUGACGCUGAGGCUCGAAAGUGUGGGUAGCAAACAGGAUUAGAUACCCUGGUAGUCCACACUGUAAACGAUGAUUACUAGGUGUGGGUGGACUGACCCCAUCCGUGCCGCAG
rnacentral:rRNA from 1 species